UGUUGAUUCAAGAAUGGUCUCAAUGUUAUCUACCAAAUUGAAAGUGAUUUUGGCUCAACUUUUACACUUCCAGAAAUUACGUAAAAUCAAAGUGAAGCAAUAAGAUGUUGGCGAUUAAACCAUGCGUAACACUUGAAAUGUCUUAUUUUGCUGUUAACAAUCAUAAUCAAAAUGGAGGCUUGCCGUGUUGAAAUGAAAGGCUUUAGAGGUACCACUAAUGAUGAUUUCAGUUGAAAAUCAACUUUAAUGAUUGAUUAUUGCACGUUGAUUCAAAGACUGUGAUGUUGUUGAUGAUGUGCUAAAAAUCAUAAUCAUAAUGAUGUUGAUGAUGAACCUGAAUUGGGAACAAAAUAGGAAAAAUGGAUGAUCAAAGGUUGUUGGAAAAAAAAGAUUGGCAGACUACACUCUUCUGAAAAAGAUAUAUAAUAAUAACAAUGAUUAUCAAUCAGUGAAGAGUGAUGAAGUAAAGAAGCAAUUGAGAAGGCAACGAAAAAGAAUACGCUGAUGAUGAUGAUGAUAAGAAUGAAUGUACCUGAAUGGUCAAAGAUACACGAUGAAAUUACAAUCUAAAGGAUGUUUCAAUUGUUCACCAUCAAUCCAAGGAAUUUGCUAACAAAUUGAAACUUAAAUCAAACAUUGACAACUUGGAUUCACUUUGAAGAGAGAUAAUUUCACACUUUAAUCUUCGCCUUAAUCUUAACAAUUACCUUUCAAGUUUAGUGUCACCAUUAUUAUUAUCAUCAUCAUCAUUAUGAUAAUCAUUAUCAUCUCACUUACCUUUCCCUCCUUAUCACUAACUGAGAGAAAGAGUCGAUGUUAACGGACCGCUUAUAAUAAAUUUUUGAAAGUGAAAAAAAUAGCAAAAUCAAAAUAAUGCGAGAGGUUAAAAUGUUUUAUAACAUGAUAAACUAAAUCAUUACCAUUUGUAAUGUUCAGGUAACUUGUAAUUACAUCAAACAAUCUUAUUGCUUGAUAGCGUUUUCAUGUUGCCAGGAUUUGUAGUAUAUUUAGCUAUCUUCAGGUAACAUUUAUUACAGAGGGAAAAGAGAAGUGAGAAGAAGAUGAUGAUGAUGAAAUUGAUGAUAACAAAAUGAUUAUGAUGAAGAAAAGUCUGACCCUGGAUUCAUCAGAGCUGUUGAACAACGUGAUUGUCGUCAAUUUUAAUUCCAGUUUUAACGCCAUUGCCAUCAUCUUUACAUCAUUUUAAUCCAUAAUCAAGAAUAUUUCUUGGGCUGAUCUGGUUUCUUCUUAUCACCUUAACAUUGAUUACAUUGCUUGAACGACUUGAAGAUAUUAUCAGAAAAGGAACACGGAUUCAGUUAAUUGCAGCAAUACAUGAUUGGGUGGAUAAGCGAGUAAAUUAUUUACUUGAAUUUAACUUAAAGGGUUCAAAGUGAAAAUUAAUAACAAUAAUGAUGAAAAGCAACGAAACCUUUUCUCAUUGAGCCGCUGGAUUAAUGCCAUUGAAUUAGCCUUGUUAAGGGAAUGGUUAACAUGUUGAAUUGUACUUUAUAAACCUGUGAGAACGUGUUGACAACAACACUUUAAGCUAUGGUGAUGACGAUGAUGGUGAUGCCGAUGAGGCAUUGGGAGGUGACAAGGUUAGGUGAGGCGCCUUUAAAGACAAUAAACACAGUGGUUAACACACAGAGGCUGUGAAGAUGCAUCAAGAUGAAUAAAUAAGAGACAAGACAAUGAUGCCAGUGAUUAUUAUUAUAUCCAUUGAGUUUAAAAAAGGACGAAUCAAAAGGCAUCUUUUUCAAACACAAACGUAAACAAAAACGCAUCUCAAUCAAACCAAGGAAAGGACUGAAAGGAAGAUGAAAAUCAAAAUGGAUCAAAUUAACCAUUGGAAAGCGUUCAAAGUCAUCAACAUCAUCUUUUUCACAUUUAUCAUUUCAUCAACACCUACAGAAGCAAACGCAUUAUUAACAUGGUUAUAUUGUGUUGUGUAAAAUACAUUUCAGGAAUGAAUGGAAACAAAAAUCAAAUAGUAAACCAAAGCCAAUGUUAA